rnacentral:rRNA from 1 species
CCAGGCGGCCGUAGCGCGGUGGUCCCACCUGACCCCAUGCCGAACUCAGAAGUGAAACGCCGUAGCGCCGAUGGUAGUGUGGGGUCUCCCCAUGCGAGAGUAGGGAACUGCCAGGC